GAUGAAGAACGUAGUGAAAUGCGAUAAGUAAUGUGAAUUGCAGAAUUCAGUGAAUCAUCGAAUCUUUGAACGCACAUUGCGCCCAUUAGUAUUCUAGUGGGCAUGCCUGUUCGAGCGUCAUUAAGUCCACUUAAGCCCUGCUUAGUGUUGGGAGACUGCUCCAGCGGUGCUACCCUGUAGCUACCCUGCAGCUCCUCAAAGACAGCGGCGGAGUUGUGGUAUCCUCUGAGCUUAGUAACUUGUUCUAGCUUUCGAGUACACCACUUCCCCUGCCGUAAAACCCUUAAUUUUUAAUGGUUGACCUAGGAUCAGGUAGGAAUACCCGCUGAACUUAAGCAUAUCAAUAAGCGGAGGA
rnacentral:misc_RNA from 1 species